GCGGACCUCCCGCGUGGCGGCAUCCUGCUGAACCCCCCCAGGGCCGGAAGGCAGCAAGGGUAAGUGGGCUCUGUCGGGUGCGCGGGGGGUCUUUUGC
rnacentral:SRP_RNA from 1 species